rnacentral:rRNA from 1 species
GAGUUUGAUCAUGGCUCAGAACGAACGCUGGCGGCGUGCCUAACACAUGCAAGUCGAGGGAGAAAAGGGGCUUCGGCUCCUGAGUAAACCGGCGCACGGGUGAGUAACACGUAGGUAACGUACCCUGGAGUCCGGGAUAACCAGUCGAAAGACUGGCUAAUACCGGAUACGACUACGAGGUCUCCGGACUUUGUAGUGAAAGAUGGCCUCUAUUUAUAAGCUAUCACUCCUGGAUCGGCCUGCGCACCAUUAGCUAGUUGGUGAGGUAACGGCUCACCAAGGCUGAGAUGGUUAGCUGGUCUGAGAGGAUGGCCAGCCACACUGGGACUGAGACACGGCCCAGACUCCUACGGGAGGCAGCAGUGGGGAAUAUUGGACAAUGGGCGAAAGCCUGAUCCAGCAAUGCCGCGUGUGUGAA